UACGGAGGGUGCAAACGUUAUCCGGAUUUACUGGGUUUAAAGGGUGUGUAGGCGGGCUUUUAAGUCAGUGGUGAAAUCUCCGGGCUCAACCCGGAAACUGCCAUUGAUACUAUUAGUCUUGAAUUUUGUUGAGGUAGGCGGAAUAAGUCAUGUAGCGGUGAAAUGCUUAGAUAUGACUUAGAACACCAAUUGCGAAGGCAGCUUGCUAAACAAAUAUUGACGCUGAGGCACGAAAGCGUGGGGAUCAAAACAGG
rnacentral:rRNA from 1 species